GCAGAGAGACAGCGCACCAGCUGUGAUGGUGCUGUGCAGAGUUGUCCGGACCUUGUGGGCGGACUUGUGGGCUGCACCAUUGGGCGGUUCUCCCCAGCUGCAGGCAAUCUGCUGCUCACACACCUGUCUCCUGUCAUCAUCAGGACUAGCUUUUAUACCCUGCCAUCUCCUCAGUUCCCUGCUGGAUUAUUAAGUCUAGUUUUGUUCUUCGAGACCCCUGCUCUGCUCUCAUGCCGCUCUGUUACAGAGAAUGCCUGGCUGGAGAUUUCCCCAUUGCAGACUCACCGUCAGCCCUGUUUACCUGCCUUGCCAGGCCUCGCACUUGCCUGCUACACCAUACCACACCUGAGGAACCUUACCUCCAGCAUCAAGCCUAUCUCCCCAUAUCUUGUGUUAAUUAACUGUGUGAAAAUCCUCCUGAGCUGUGUUCUUGUCUGCAUCUGGGUUCUGAGCCAUGAAUUUCCCUGGCAGUUUAGAAGUAGCCCAUAUGUAUGGACUACAGUUGAAAAUUAGCCUGCUGGCUAACACUGGCACAUUUACAGAAAUGUUGAUUAAUGUGCACUGUCCUUAAAUAAAUAAAUGAGAAAAUAAAUGAGAAA